UACGGAGGGGGUUAGCGUUGUUCGGAAUGACUGGGCGUAAAGCGUGCGCAGGCGGUUUUGUAAGUCUGACGUGAAAUCCCCGGGCUCAACCUGGGAAUUGCGUUGGAGACUGCAAGGCUAGAAUCUGGCAGAGGGGGGUAGAAUUCCACGUGUAGCAGUGAAAUGCGUAGAGAUGUGGAGGAACACCGAUGGCGAAGGCAGCCCCCUGGGUCAAGAUUGACGCUCAUGCACGAAAGCGUGGGGAGCAAACAGG
rnacentral:rRNA from 1 species